UGCCUGAUCCCUGGCACAUGACAGGAAGAGAGGGGGAGAUUACCUGGCCUUGCUAUGUGCCAUCUUGUGAUAGAGCACCCUGUCUGCCUCUGUUCCUGUUGAUCACUGCCUCUUGCCGCUUGUGCUGUGUCAGAUCCCAUCGAAGCGAUGGAGACUUUUUGCAUGUGUGUGGCCCUGGCCUUGUGUGCCUUUGUCAUGCUGUGCCUCUUCUUACACACACUGUGGGGUUGGCUAACUGACAGUGAAAAGCAAAAACAAAUUGACAUCGAAUGGGCAGCUGCUUUUGGCGAUGGUAAUAAUAAUUAAAUAUAGGACUUACUUUAUACUAUACAGUCAAAUUACUAAAGAGAGAAAAAACAAACAUCAGUAAAAAUGUGUUAGAUAGAGCUUCUGCCUAUUUAUCAAUGACUACCACUGUGAUAUAUUCACUUUUAUAUAGCAAGUGUCAGA